CAGGGAAUGUGAAAGAAGGGAACAGUUUUUUUUUUUUUAAUUAAUUUGCUCUUCUAGCACCUUUGGGGUUUAUACCUUGAAGUAUAUUAAAUAUCAGCUUUGCAGAAGUGCUUGAAUAUUUGGAACCAGUAAACAUACAGACAAUUUUCAACCUGAAAACAAAGCUGAUUGAACAAAUAAUCUUGACAGCAGACCAGGAAAGAUGGAAAUCUAAGCUGGGAGUAAUGUGAAUCCAGAGACAGUUUGAUUCUUGCUACAGAACAUCAGAAAGGCUCAGGAAUUGGAAUCAUCAGGUACCUCAGAAAGUAGGUAGGUGGGUGUAAAUGUAGGAUUAGUUGGAAACCUGUAUGAGAAGUAGUGAGAUACCCAAAUCUUCUUCCCAUGCAGAAGACUAAAAGUUUAUUCCCUGGAGCCAGUGUGCUGAGCUGAACUAUGGUAUCUCUGACCCCUUCCCCCAUUCACAGAACCCUGACAGACUGGCCCAUGCCUUCCAAGACAGAAGAUUAGAGGACUGUUGUCUGGAAAAAUGGAUUAACCCAAGAGAGAGAAUCUAUGCAAAAUUUAAACUCCUUCUUCAAGCAGCAUUUCCAGAUCACCUCCGUGAAGCUCUAAGCACUUCCACAGAGUACAUUCUAGUGAAACAGUUAUAACCUAAACAUCCAGCAACAGGAGAUUGCUUAAGUCAUAACAUAUUACAUAAAAUAUUUGUAUAAAAUAGUUUCUAUUUAACUACUUUAAAUAAUGUACAAGAAUAUAUAGUACUAUGGAAAGAUGUUCACAAGUCAUUUUAAAUUUUAAAAAAGUAAUACAAUAUGAUCCUACUUUUGUAUUUUAAAAAAUUGUUUUUUUUGAAUGCAUAGAAAAAAAGUUUAGAAGGAGCUGUGCCAGAUUGUUAACAAUGGUUAUUUGUGGGAUUGUGAAUGGUUUUACUUUUCUUCCUUUUAUUGAUUUCAACUAAAUUGCUUACAGUGGUUGAUGAUAGGUUGCUUUUAUAAUAAAAAAAAUAAAUAAAACUUAUUAAAAAUAGAUAAGGAUCAUGAAGAGAGAGAUUACAAAAGGAGACUACAACAUGUUCAGUGAACUUGGGAAAUUUGUUCAGCUCACUAUUAAUAAUUAGCAUUUAUUUAUACUUAACUAUGUGCUAAACACUUGCUAAAGACAUUAUAUUCCUUCUCAUUUACUCAUCACAUUAGCCCUAUGACGAAGAGGUGGUAUUUAUUUUUACAAAUGAGAAACCUGUGGCUCAGAAAAAUUAAAUAAGGCUCAAGGUAGCAUAGCCCUUAAGUGGCCAAGCUAAGAUUUAAACUCAAAUCUGCUUCUGAGCCUAUACAUUAUUUUUUAUUGUUCCUAUAUAUAUUUUAAAAAUGUACCAAAGCCUUAAAUACAUUCAUAUUAAUUGACAACCAUAAUUCCACUUGAAGGAAUCUAUCAUUAGGAAAUAAUCAGGUUCACAUAAAGAUAUACGUAUAGGUUGUUUAUCUUAGGAUUAUCUAAGAUAGUUUAAAAAAAAAAAAACUUACACAACUACCAUAGCCUCCACCA